AAUUGUUUGCACAUGUGUUCUUAUAAUGAUGAAUCCCAUUGUCCUCGUAAGUUGAAAGAGUGUUCCAGGUGAUCCUAAUUAGCAUAGGUAAACGCCCCACCAAUCCCUAUUAAAAGGAGACUGCAGGGUCGUGUGCAAACACCAGCAACAGCCCAAACCAAAGUCUAAAGAGGGUGGAGCACCGGACUCCAAACGUAAAAAACCCUCAGUAGUUCUGAAGUGGAACUACUGCUGCAGGAAGUGAACACCAAACGAGCUGUCAUAUGUAGUAGCAUCAGUAGUGGGUAUGAAAUAACCAAAAAAGAAAAUAUGUAUGAGAUGCUAUUACUCAUUCAGUGGAGAAGGUGACACACAGCUGAUGAAGUAAAACGGUUUUACCGUAAAUCUGAGGCAAAAAAAACAUUGCCAAAUACAGAAGAGAGAUGCUGACCACUAAUGUGUUAUCUCAGCUGGACCAGUGGAUAGGGGCCAUAAUUGGAAAGACAGCUCUCUCAAGUGUGCCAUCAGAUGAGCAUUUGGACACAGACCUGGGCCCCGUGUCAGUGGUUUCAUCUCCUCUCCUCUCCUGAUCUCAGAAUCAGAAGAUGUUCCCCCGCUGAGGCAACAACACUCAGAGAUUGAACCUGGUACCUCACAGCCAGUAACAUCCUGCAGCAGGAACCACCCAGAUCCAGAUCUGGUCUCAGAUGCGAUCCUGGACAACCAAGAGAGAACAGCCAAAAGGCUUUCACAGAUAGCCUCAACACUGGCCACAAUCUCUGAGACACUUGAAGAAAUGAAUAUAAGUGAUAAUAUAAUAAUACAAAUAAAGAUAUGCACUGAAACCUAAU